GAUGAACGCUGGCGGUGUGCCUAAUACAUGCAAGUCGAGCGAACAGACGAGGAGCUUACUCCUCUGACGUUAGCGGCGGACGGGUGAGUAACACGUGGAUAACCUACCUAUAAGACUGGGAUAACUUCGGGAAACCGGAGCUAAUACCGGAUAACAUGUUGAACCGCAUGGUUCAACAGUGAAAGACGGUCUUGCUGUCACUUAUAGAUGGAUCCGCGUCGCAUUAGCUAGUUGGUAAGGUAACGGCUUACCAAGGCGACGAUGCGUAGCCGACCUGAGAGGGUGAUCGGCCACACUGGAACUGAGACACGGUCCAGACUCCUACGGGAGGCAGCAGUAGGGAAUCUUCCGCAAUGGGCGAAAGCCUGACGGAGCAACGCCGCGUGAGUGAAGAAGGUCUUCGGAUCGUAAAACUCUGUUAUUAGGGAAGAACAAAUGUGUAAGUAACUAUGCACGUCUUGACGGUACCUAAUCAGAAAGCCACGGCUAACUACGUG
rnacentral:rRNA from 1 species